ensembl:lncRNA
AUGAGUUUUCAGUUCAGUUCUACAGAUUUAGAACCUAGCACAGAAAUAAAAGAAUCUGUGGCAACGGCAGAGGAAGAGUUCAAGAACAGCACUGAAGAGACAGAAAGAAAGAACGUUCCUGAAGACGAGGAUUCUGGAGGCUCUGGACAUGUCCUGCCACAGCGGAAACCAGUGUUCGCUGGAGGCUCUGGACAUGUCCUGCCACAGUGGAAACAAAGAUUUUUCUAUUUUGCUGAAUCUAGACGAGUCAAGCCACAGUGGAAAGAAGUAUAUCCUUGUGAGAUUAUUACACUAAACCCUCAUCUUGAAGAUAAAGAUGAGGAUGAAGAAAUGGAAAUGUCCAGGACUCAGUCUAUGGACAACUUGGCUCUAAUGCAGAAGCCUCUCUAGCAGUGAUGUGUUUUGAAGUUUGAUUUCAGGUGAAUCAAAGCUUCAUCCGGCAGACCAAGGAUUGAAAAUAAAGCAUCCAUAACCAGUUCCUUAUCAAAGAAAAGACUCUUUCAGAUACAGUCUUGGCACAGUAUAUUUGUAACUGAUUACAUGACCAAAGACAGUGAGUGAGAGAGCACAUUUGUGUCUGUAAACACUUUUAAUCAAACAUUUGUGUAAUUAAAAGAGUCUCUUACUGUCAUGUUUCAUAAAACUAACCAAAAUUUGCCCUGCAAAUUAAUAUAAAGUAUUUAAAAAAACACAUAUUAGACACUUCAUAUUCAAUGGUAUUAAUUUUUAUUGCAUUUAAUAAUUAUACUUAUAAUUACACAUUUGCGAAGGGUUUGUAAAAGCUGUUUUAAUGCAUGUUUUAGUCAUCAAUGUGCUGCUUCUAUACCUGACCCUCUAACACACUCUCUAACUGUUUUAUUUUCAUUUAUUUAUUCAAACAUAGAGCCUCUAACACUAUAGUAUCCUCUAUUCUUUUCUACUCAAUUUCUUUUAUUUUAAAAAUGAUCUUCUAACACUCAACACUCUUUCUAUUAUUUAGACUUUUCUUUCUUUGUGAAAAAGAGACACAGCAUCACUCUAAAACUCAGAAUGUGUGGUGUCUUAUAUUCAUUAUAGUAACACGUGCUUGUUUUGAUCUUCAAAAUAAUACCCGAUACUCAGUAUGGUACACACAUGUAAUUUUUAAAAUACAUUUUAUACAUGCUGCAGCUUUUCCUGACAGAUGGUAAAUGCAAAAAUGAAUUCACACAUUUGACAGCAUUAUAAUAACAUCAGCCCGCUUGUGUUAUGUUUAGAAUUCUGUAUUUAAGUUAAUAUAGACAAAUAUGACUGUAAAUCAAUUUUUGUUUAAGAUUGUUUAAUUUACUGCAUGUGCAAUUGUUGAAUAAAAAUAUUUAAAUAUUAAUUUACCAUUUAUUUGCAAUUUAAAUACAAUUUAAAUAAAACAUAAAAAUGUAUAUAUUUUAUUAAAGUGUUCAAAUGCUGUAUUUGAUGAUAUGUAGAGAUGACAGAGAACAGAACACAAGCACAGCUAUGAGAGAAGCAUAAUAUAUUUUAUAUAUAGAUAUUAUUUAUAUACAAAUAUAUAUAAAUAAAUAUCUAAAUAUUUUUCUAUGAACAUUGCACUGUAAAUUAAACAAUUUUAUACAAACUGAUUUACAGUCAUUUUUUAUUUUUAUUAAAUAUAGCAUCUUAAAUGUAACGCAAGUGUGCUGAUGUUAUUGUAAUGCUGUCAAAUGUGUGAAUUCAUUUUCUCACUCAUCUGUCAGGAAAAAGUGGAUAAAAAGUACAUUAGUGGAAUGUACAGAGGAUCAUACAUCAUGAUCAAUGAAACUGUCUGAAGAUCCCAUAUUAAUUUAUAACUGUACAGUAGAAUUGAUAAAUUUGGGUACUAAGAAAACCAGCUUGAACCAAUUGCCUCACAAAGUGAUUUAGUGAAUCACUCGAUGAUAGAUGAUAGAAAUGUUUUCUGGAAUAAGAUCUGUCUUUUGUGGUGUCUGUCAGUGUUUUCUGCACAAACCGGACCGGCUCACACACACACCUAGUGAUGAACUGAAGUUUCUCAAGCGCUGCCUGGUUCUGAGAGUCUACACCUGUCAAUCAUUCAUUAUCACUACAUUAUUUUGGUUUGUUUUUGGCUCUGACUAUGUUUCCUGGUCUUUUUGAGUGCGAUGGCUGUCAAGUUGAAUUGCUUUUAUUAGUGCUCAGACUGUUAAUCAUCAGUGUCUGGGACUGUUUUCUGUUGGUUAUUACAGGAGAAACACUGGCCUCCAGGAAUAGACGAGACUCAUGGGAUCAUCAUCACCGAGCUGAUGAGCACAGGCAAGUACACACACACACACACACACACACACACACACACACACAGAGAGAGAGAGAGUUUACUUGAGAGUUCAAAUGUUUUUUUGUUGUUUUUUUAAACCGCGCCAUUACUUAGAGACCAUUUAGUAAAGGUCUUUUCUUUAGCUGUCACUAGUCUAUCAUCACAGUGCAGUCAUUGCUACACCAGUCAUAUGUUAAGAGUUAAAUAUUCUGAAUGGUCUUGAGGUGUAACGUUUGCAGAUGACACCUGAUACAAACUUCAGUAACGCGUGUCAGCAGUUUCUCUUCCAGCUGAUCCUCAUGACUCAAUGUUAAAUCCCUUCCAAUGAAUUGAGGAACAGACUAUUGUGGAUCACAUGCACAUAAAUACAGAUGUGUCUUUUGUUCUACAGAUCUGAAGGCUGUGUGAUUGGGGAAGUGCCAUGUUUUUGGUGUUUGGAUGGGAAAUUGCCAUGCCAAGUUUAAGUUCAUUCAUUCUACGUGUUAAGCGUCACGUGUGUUUAGAUUUGUUUCUGUUCAGGUUUAUCAGUCGUGUCUGUUAUUGCUCAUGAUGAAUAGUAGUUUGUGACCAUUUUCCUACUAUAUAGUUUCUCAUGGUUUCAUUGGUUCAUUGCCAUGCUGUAUUUUUAUUCUGUGUAGUUUAAAACAGACUCAUCAUUUUAAAGUGUUUUUUAUUUAAAAUCUCCUCUUUGUUUAGAAACCACACAUGAUGUAUUUCUCUCACAUCUGCUUUUCUGAAUAAAGUCCUC